UACUCCACUCAGCAUAAUGCAAUAUCCUGUUUUAAAGUGAGAUCUUUGUCCAGAUAUUUCGUAAAAAGAUUGGACAAUUUCGUACAUGUGGGGUUCAAUAACACGUACACAUUUGUUACGGCAACUGUUGCUGUUUUGCCUUAGAGAGAAAGAAAAGGAAAGCGACUCAGUCACUCCCCACCAUUUUUUUUUUUUUUUUUUGGUUUUGUUGGAUUUAAUGUUACGUACUAUGUAGUAAUAUUCUGUGCCUUUUAACGUCCCUUACUCGUGGAAGUUCCAGUAAUUUUAUCCAUCCUUUUGGCCCCACAUUGUCCUCAUUUUAUUCUCCUUCUCAUGUAUUUCUUGAUCUGAUCUUCUUCUAAGAUUCCCAUAUGAUGCUCUUCUCUUGCUUAAAACUAUCUUUAUUCAAUCUUAUAAUAUCUGUUUGCUGAUUAUCUUGAUUUUCCACACUCAUUUCCCUUACAGGGCAUUGCAAAAGCAUUUCAUAAUAGGUUCUUGCAUUCUGGAUAAUGGAAAAUUUGCUUCUUCUAUAGCAGCCUGUUUUGUUUCUCUUUCUUGCAUCAAUAUUGAAUUUUGACGUUUAAAAAUCCGUUCUUGAAUUGUAAUUUCAUGUGGUCUUGCUCAUUGCUACUGAUUUCCAGUCAAAAGAACCGAUAUUUUGAGGUGGGCUGAUUGAUUGUUGUGGGUACUUGAGGAAUUGUUCUGCAACUUGAUAUAGCUUUGGUGGAAGAGAAUUUGGGUUUGUACUAGUGAGCAUUCUUGGACCUGGAACGGUCUCGUGAAUAAUGAAAUGGUUCCUCUCUGGAAACGAGUACUCAAAUUUUGUGUAGUUUAUAAUUUCAGACAGUUACUAAUCUAGAGACCUAUAGUAAGCGUCCUUCGCGACAAUAGUGGCUUCGCCCUUCGGGUUGCUGAAGCCCUGAGAAACGAAAGGAUGAAGGUAGGAAAAGAUGAAGAGAGGGGUAUGGAUCCUCUGUUUCCUAGAUUACAUAUAAAUGAUGCAGAUAAAGGAGGUCCAAGAGCACCUCCAAGGAACAAAAUGGCUCUUUGUGAACAGUCGUCCAGAUCACCUCAAAGGUUAACCUCUACUUCUGCUCCUGCCCCUGGAACAAUGUCAAUGCUGCCUCUCCCGCCUAAUGGUGGAAACUCUAUUCCUACAGCAUCUUCUAGUCUUGUUGGUUGCAAUAAAAGGAGUUUGUUUUCCCACAAUUCAUCUGAGUCUUCUCAUUUUGUUGAGAUACUUCAUCCGUAUUCUUCUGGUGGGACGAACUUUACAAUGAGACGUCCUGAUGUACAACCAGUGAAGUCGCUGAAUCCUCAAGUUUUAUGUCUUAAAGGGAAUUUGCAUGGUCCAUCUCAGUUUAAUUCUAUUCAGCCACACAGUUUAUCAUACUCCAACAGUAACCCUUCUGCAAACAAGUUUGGAAGGGAAAAUGAUUUUUUUGGUCCAAAGUUCGUCGCAUCAGGGAAACCUAUAUAUCAUGGUAACAUCCAUAAAAGUGCGGACAAAGAAAAAAUGGCUAUAUCAAGCUCCAAACCAUCCUUGAAAUAUCAAGGCGUUUUCGAAAAACAAUUGAAGGAUACAGGCAGUAUGCAACUAAAGUGGAGCGAGCAUAGUGCCAAACUUCCUGCUCCUCAUCUGUCAACUGUAGAGAAGAUAGUGGUGCGUCAAGCUCCAAGUCCAGGACGCAGUGAGCUAAAUAUCAAAUCACUUGUAUCAAGUGCUCCAGAAAAUAGAUGUGGUCUGGUUGGUGAUUUGAAUAGAUGUAGUGGUUCUAAUUCCGAAUCUGAUGAAGACUCUUGGAUUAUGCACAAAAGGAAGGCAGCAGAAGAUGUUACAUAUGUGAAGCAAGAAGAUACCACGACAAAUAGACGUGCUUCCGUAAUGGAAGGUCCGUCGUGUUCCUUUCUGCCUCACGGAGACAACCAUCAGAGUCCGAAGAGAGUUAAAUUCUCAUCUGACUGCCCUGAAGGCCUAAGUAGAGGGCCUCCAGUAGUAGGAGGUACAGACAGAAGUGAAGGGAUCUCAGUAGCUUCGUCCUUGAACUCUAGAUUAGUAGAAAAAUUGUCUUCAGAUAAUGUCAUAGCAUUAUUAGGUCAAGAACUAUUUUGGAAAGCAAGACGAACCAUUGCACACCAGCAACGGAUCUUUGCAAUGCAACUAUUUGAGCUACACAGGCUGACAAAGGUACAGAAAAUGAUAGCCCGAUCACCAGAUAUUUUGUUCAAAGACAACUUCUAUAUCCACCAACCUUCUAUCAAUUUUUCUUCCUUGAAGAAUUUGCCAUGUGAUGAUGUUAUUGAACCUCCUGUAGUGGCUGUUGAACAAAAGAUUUCUCCAAAACCAAACAAUUUUGAGCAUCCAGCAGAUAAUGCUUAUCUUCCGCUCCCCAAAGAUAAUGAUAAAAAGAAUAUACCACAGCUGUCAGCUCAAAAAUCAAAUGUAGGGCCAGUACCAACAUCGAGAUCUUUUGUAUCCGAUCCAAAAUUAUCACCUCGGUGCUACCAACCACCUCCUGGAUAUCAGUGGUUAGUUCCAAUAAGGUCACCUUCUGAAGGACUUGUUUAUAAACCUUAUACAGGACCUUGUCCACCGCCUGGAGGAAUUAUCGUGCCAGUUUAUGGUAGUUCCCGGCCAGCUACACUAUCUCCCACUGGUGGAGAUUUUGCGAAUGUGCCUUAUAGUGUACAGACUUCUCACAAGCAAGGUGUUGGGAUUUUUCCUGGUCCUGCAAUAUUUGAUCAGUCCUGCAUUCAACCUUAUUCCAUGCCUGUGAUAAAACCAUCUGCUUCAAGUUCCGCUAUCGAGCAAAUGAAUCCGUUUUCACAAAUUAUGUCAAGUGAGAAGGAGAAUAGUCCAUUUAUGCCUCAUAAAAAAACAUGCAACAUAUCAUGCCAGAAGAGCGCGGUCAUGUCAGAUUGUGACAGAACUUUUCAGGCCGAUAGAGGGAGUGAUAUGCAAGGAAGUACUGCAAGUAGUCCUCCUGAGAGGGCGCAAAAGGAUGCACUUUCUCUUUUUCCUAUCACACCAACUGCAAAAGGUUCAGAUCAACCAGUUCAAGAUAACAAUGCGGAGCAGCGAAUUCAAGUGAUCAAGGUUGUGCCCCAUAACCCAAAGUCAGCAUCUGAAUCUGCAGCUCGAAUUUUUAAGUCUAUACAAGAAGAAAGGAAAUUGAAUUACUAGUAUCCAAAACCUAACAACUUUAAUCUUGUACGAAAAGCCCUUUCUGCUGUAUGUUUUCCUUUAUCUAAAUUUCUUUCAUUUUUUAGCUUCCUUCUUGGAUUAAAGGUUCUUUACUGUAAAUAUAUUCAAUGGAAAGUGAAAAGCAACACAGGACUACAGUAAAGAUACACGAGAAUGUACAGUCUUAAAAAUGGUUCUUACUGAGUUAAAAAAGAGAUCUUCUUCUCCAAAAUAUUGGGUGGGAGCCAGUAGAGCAAGGACAUGUUCAUGUCCUUAU